CGUGAUCCGGGUUGCGGACAGUGUCUGGUGGGUAGUUUGACUGGGGCGGUCUCCUCCUAAAGAGUAACGGAGGAGCACGAAGGUUGGCUAAUCCUGGUCGGACAUCAGGAGGUUAGUGCAAUGGCAUAAGCCAGCUUGACUGCGAGCGUGACGGCGCGAGCAGGUGCGAAAGCAGGUCAUAGUGAUCCGGUGGUUCUGAAUGGAAGGGCCAUCGCUCAACGGAUAAAAGGUACUCCGGGGAUAACAGGCUGAUACCGCCCAAGAGUUCAUAUCGACGGCGGUGUUUGGCACCUCGAUGUCGGCUCAUCACAUCCUGGGGCUGAAGUAGGUCCCAAGGGUAUGGCUGUUCGCCAUUUAAAGUGGUACGCGAGCUGGGUUUAGAACGUCGUGAGACAGUUCGGUCCCUAUCUGCCGUGGGCGCUGGAGAACUGAGGGGGGCUGCUCCUAGUACGAGAGGACCGGAGUGGACGCAUCACUGGUGUUCGGGUUGUCAUGCCAAUGGCACUGCCCGGUAGCUAAAUGCGGAAGAGAUAAGUGCUGAAAGCAUCUAAGCACGAAACUUGCCC
rnacentral:rRNA from 1 species